rnacentral:rRNA from 1 species
GAUGAACGCUGGCGGCGUGCCUAAUACAUGCAAGUCGAACGCACAGCGAAAGGUGCUUGCACCUUUCAAGUGAGUGGCGAACGGGUGAGUAACACGUGGACAACCUGCCUCAAGGCUGGGGAUAACAUUUGGAAACAGAUGCUAAUACCGAAUAAAACUUAGUGUCGCAUGACACAAAGUUAAAAGGCGCUUCGGCGUCACCUAGAGAUGGAUCCGCGGUGCAUUAGUUAGUUGGUGGGGUAAAGGCCUACCAAGACAAUGAUGCAUAGCCGAGUGGAGAGACUGAUCGGCCACAUUGGAACUGAGACACGGCCCAAACUCCUACGGGAGGCUGCAGUAGGGAAUCUUCCACAAUGGGCGAAAGCCUGAUGGAGCAACGCCGCGUGUGUGAUGAAGGCUUUCGGGUCGUAAAGCACUGUUGUAUGGGAAGAACAGCUAGAAUAGGAAAUGAUUUUAGUUCGACGGUACCAUACCAGAAAGGGACGGCUAAAUACGUGCCAGCCGCCGCCGUAA